rnacentral:hammerhead_ribozyme from 1 species
AUCCAGCUGACGAGUCCCAAACAGGACGAAGAGCGCGUACUGGAU